rnacentral:rRNA from 1 species
AUUGAACGCUGGCGGCAGGCCUAACACAUGCCAGUCGAGCGGAUGAAGGGAGCUUGCUCCUGGAUUCAGCGGCGGACGGGUGAGUAAUGCCUAGGAAUCUGCCUGGUAGUGGGGGAUAACGUCCGGAAACGGGCGCUAAUACCGCAUACGUCCUGAGGGAGAAAGUGGGGGAUCUUCGGACCUCACGCUAUCAGAUGAGCCUAGGUCGGCUUAGCUAGUUGGUGGGGUAAAGGCCUACCAAGGCGACGAUCCGUAACUGGUCUGAGAGGAUGAUCAGUCACACUGGAACUGAGACACGGUCCAGACUCCUACGGGAGGCAGCAGUGGGGAAUAUUGGACAAUGGGCGAAAGCCUGAUCCAGCCAUGCCGCGUGUGUGAAGAAGGUCUUCGGAUUGUAAAGCACUUUAAGUUGGGAGGAAGGGCAGUAAGUUAAUACCUUGCUGUUUUGACGUUACCAACAGAAUAAGCACCGGCUAACUUCGUG